rnacentral:rRNA from 1 species
UACGUAGGGUGCGAGCGUUAAUCGGAAUUACUGGGCGUAAAGCGUGCGCAGGCGGUUUUUUAAGACAGGUGUGAAAUCCCCGGGCUUAACCUGGGAACUGCGGUUGUGACUGCAAGGCUAGAGUACGGCAGAGGGGGGUGGAAUUCCACGUGUAGCAGUGAAAUGCGUAGAGAUGUGGAGGAACACCGAUGGCGAAGGCAGCCCCCUGGGUCGAUACUGACGCUCAUGCACGAAAGCGUGGGUAGCAAACAGG